ensembl:lncRNA
AGUCAAUUCACCUUUAUUUAUACAGUGCUUUAUAUUUAAGUCAGUUACUGUGUUUCACCAAGGCAGGGGUGUAUUAAACUAAAAAGCAGGUAUAUAUCUUGCAGUAUAGUACAGUAUAGUACAGUAUCACAUGCAUGUUAAUGCAGAACUCUGAAUCAUAUUUGUGUAUGAAUUGUUCAAUUCUUCGACUACCCAAGGCUCACCUUCACUCUCAUUCCCAGCAGAAGCAGCUGCAGUCUUCUCACUAUUUAAUGUUUUUAAUUCAAUUAUUCCAGUUAAUUAUCAUCAUGCCAUCUCAAAAGUAUGACUAGGUGUGCUUAUAUUAAUAUUUUGAUGCAAGAUCCACACAAUCUGUACAAACAUUGAUUACAUAUUGCUUUCCAUAUUUACAGCUUAUAUCUACUGUUUUGCUCCUUCAGAGUAUGAUAAUUGUUUCACAGUAGUUUGUCAUAUGUAGGGAAACACAGACUGCUGUGCAGCAAGCAUCUGCUUACACAAGACAUACAUCACCAAUCUGAUACUUCAUCUGUUUAUUUUUCCUCUCCUGCUGUUCUUUCCACCUGAUUUUAGUUUGAACACUCAGAUGACUGCUCCUCUGCAAAACCUUAGUUGUGUCUGUUUCACUGCUCAGUCUGACUUCAUCUGAUCAGUACAACCUACAGCAAGAGUUAUUACUGUAUAACAAGACAUCCUUUAAAACCCUGCAGCUGGAGACAUUCACCCUCAUCUCAUUCAUGAUGACACACAUUACAUGAAGCAUAAAAAACACCAGGAUGAACAACCUAAUAAUAAUAAUCUAAAACAUAAAACAAUAUAAACGAUUGAAUGAAUAGAUGUAAAUGACGGAAUGAUCAUGAAUGAUUAAAUUGAUGAAUGAUGAACAAAACAAACACACAUUUUGAUUGUAAGAUCUUGCAGUGUUUUAUAUCUCAUGUAUUCAUUUGCAUUACAGUUGAGGACGAACGAGAAUAAAUAAGAGUUGAGAAGCUCAGAAUGAACACAAACUCCCUUCAUCAUCUUCAUGUCAAAGAUCACAGUGACGUUUGAGUAAAUAAUGACGUGAGUCGAUUCACACUGAGAUUGAUUCAGUGAAUCAGGAGCAUCAGAUCAUUUGGACAGCAGCUUCAGGAUCCCUGAGAGAAACACAUUCAGAUUCAGCAGAUGAAGAGUCACAGAGAUAAAGAUUCACUUACAGCAGAUGAAGAUUCAUUCUCAUCAGAUCACAGCAUCCGCCUGUUUCACCUCUUCAGUGUUCAAGUGAUUCACUCCAUUACAUUUAUUCAUUUAUCUGAAUCACUCUCACUGCAUUCAAACAGCUCAUUUGAUUCAUUCAUUCAUUCUGUGUGAAUCAAAUCCAUGAUCUCAGUGUUGUUCAGGAAUCACUCACCUGUUUUCUGAAUCAUCAUCGUCACGCUGACAGAUGAACCUCUGAAAACAUCUGACAACAGAUUGAAUCUGAUUAUUACAUAUUAUCACAUCCAGCACAGACUCUGAGUUCAUUCAGACUGAUAGAUUCAGUAAUCUGAAGAUCCUUUUACGCAGCAAGAAACAGA